rnacentral:rRNA from 1 species
AGGAAGUAAAAGUCGUAACAAGGUUUCCGUAGGUGAACCUGCGGAAGGAUCAUUAUCGAAUGGAAAGGAAUCCAAGGAGGACGGAAAGGACUGUGCUGGCCAGCUCGAAGAGAGUUUGGCACGUGCACGUCCGACCAUGUACUCCUUGCCUUUCGAUCUACAUUCACACACCCGUGCACCGACCGUAGGCCCUUCGAAAGAGGGGAUCUAUGUUUAUCUGAUCACGCCGAUCGUAUGGUACAGAAUGUGACCCAUGAUGAACGAAUACAACUUUCAGCAAUGGAUCUCUUGGCUCUCGCAUCGAUGAAGAACGCAGCGAAUCGCGAUAAGUAAUGUGAAUUGCAGAUUUCCAGUGAAUCAUCGAAUCUUUGAACGCACCUUGCGCUCCUUGGUAUUCCGAGGAGCAUGCCUGUUUGAGUGUCUUGGAAUUCUCAACCGAGCCCUUCGUUUUCGUUGGACUUGGCUUGGACUUGGGAGUUUGCUGGCUUCGACAGAGGUCGGCUCUCCUGAAAUCGAUUAGCGAAAAGGAUCGUAACGUCGCACUUCGGACGUGCAUGGCCUUUCGACGUGAUAAUGAUCGUCGUGGGCUGGAGCGUGCGUGGACGGACAAGAUCUGCUUGCUUCCAAUCUGGUCUGAUCUGAUCGAGGAGGCCUUGUCUACUAGCUGGCGUCCGCUGGCGAACGCAAGGUCUUCACGAAGACGAUCGACGAACUUUUGGGACUCGACCUCAAAUCAGGUAGGACUACCCGCUGAACUUAAGCAUAUCAAUAAGCGGAGGAAAAGAAACUAACAAGGAUUCCCCUAGUAACUGCGAGUGAAGAGGGAAAAGCUCAAAUUUCGAAUCUGGCGGUCCUCGUGGUCGUCCGAGUUGUAAUCUAGAGAAGCGUCUUCCGCGCUGGAC